rnacentral:lncRNA from 1 species
UGGGACUGCCCUCGGCUCCGUGGGGUAUAGGUGGCUUUUCGUGGACGUCACCGUUCGGCCAAACGCGGUAGCAGACCGCCACAUGGUGAUCAGCCUCGUGAACCUGUGCAGCGCAGCAAGGUAAAGUGCGUCCUGCAAGGGUACAGGAAUGCAGUUGUAGGGCCGCGUCCAAGUUGUCCUCACACAGCAACUUGGGCAGAUACGCCCGCGCGCGUUGUACGGAGGCUCGCUGAAUUGUGUUGCUGACUGCGCUGUGUUCGACCCGGUGGUCCCGGGCCCCGGAGCAAUCGGAGCAAGGGAAUGCCAUACGUGGGUGGGGCCUUCGUUGAGAGCGUCCUUCGUAGGCCUCCUUAGCGCGCAAAGCUAACUGCGACUUCUAUAGUUCAGCCUGCGAAUUCGGGAGACCACCAUUGAACGAGUUGUGACGUUGAAAACACACGCCGCGAGGUUUUGCAAAGGUCCGAGAAUGGGCGUAGCCUAGUCUGUACGAGAUGGAAAUAAGGGGAAAUUCAAAGUAUUCACCAUAAUUAAGAGAUCACCAAAAGUGUAGAUAUUAGGCCUCCGCGCUAUGUUGCACAUUCGCACGUACAGGUAGGUAACAAGAACUACAGGCACGGGCUCGCAAAAGGCUCGGCCUCCAAGUGUAUAUGGGCGUUAAGUGGAAGGAGGUGCUCUUGAUAAUAAUAUUUAAUUUCGCAUGAUCUUGCCCCUGCAGACGACCGCAGACCGCCUCGCGACUUCGACGGCAAUUUCAGCGAACCUUAGUCAUCGCUGUUACGGGCAUAAUCAGUUGAAACAUCCUUAUACUUACAACAAAGACCCACCAUGUUUGACUAUGACUUAAUCAGUGCUCAAAUCAUGCACCGUAUUCGGUCUCCAAACGAUGAGCCAUGUCACGACUAGUUACGGUCAUGUCGAUAUCCAUGUUUUCCUGCCUAUAUUUUUACAAUGCUGGACUUUGCCAAAGCACCCAGAUGAAACCUUAAUAGGGACCAGUCCAUCCUUGGAUGGAUGGAUAUUACAAGCAACCCGGAAGUUUCAAACCAACCCAACUGUUUAAACGAACCCGGAGGCUCAUGAACCGCUUUAAGUCGUGCCAUAUAAGAGAGAGGGAAUAAUAAGUACUGGUUCACUCCUCUCCAUCGCCCUUAUCAAUAAGAGCUAAAAAAACAAGUACGCUAUAAUGCCAAGUCGGUACCAGGAUGUAACGUGCUCGUGUCGUAUAUAGCGAAACAUGUCAUGAAUGGCCUUCGCGAGCCCACGCUGAUCAUCCUAUCCUUAUUGCUUGUGCCUUCGUCAUCGAUCGCACGAAGAUCUUUACGAACAUCGUUCGUUCCCGAGUCGGUCUGCGGGGGCAAGCUUAGUUUUUGGUUUUACAGGUAAAAUCUAAUAAUUUGUUUCUUUGCGCUGAUUACCACUAACUGGUAAAAUCCUCCCGCCAUGGGCCUUGCCACAAUUUGUAUGUGAAUUUUUUAACGAACACCAAAUGGACUCUAGUGUGUGUGUGUGUCUCUGUGUGUGUAUGCGUGUGUGUGUAUGUGUGUGUGUGUGUGUGUGUGUGUGUGUGUGUGUGUGUGAGCUGUUGGGUUUUAUUUCCGCGUGUUUCGCUUUUUUGUCCGUCAUUUUUGUCCGUCAAUUUUCCAGUCCGAAUGGAGGAAUAGGAUUUUAGCCGCGGGAAUAAAAGUAUUCCGAAUCUGUAAGGCGCUAGGGGGGGCUCCGGCCCCCCCAGAACCCCCCCGAUGAGUUACAGUUUGGUUCGUGCAAACGCCGGGUUUGGGGAAUGCUGCAACACACGCACACCACAGUCUCUCGAAAGAGGUGUCUCGUACACGCCAGGAAGCGGCGCGCACUUAGACGCGCGUUGACAGGAGCCUCGAUUGCACGGGCGACUGUUGGAGAGCCCAAGCAAACACAGACCAGUUAACCCCUACUCAAGCACUGAUCGAAUAGAGUCUUAGCUGCAGUGCCGGGGUCGCUGCUGCCAUCAACCUCGACGCCCGUGUUUCCUGGCCCAUCGCCAUUGUCUCCAUAUGGCGAACGUUGACGUUUGGCCCGCUCGCUGUUGACAACCGGCGUGGCGUCAUUGUCAUGCAGCCAGCCGACGACAAUGACGCUACUCCGGUUGACAUGGACGCCAUUUCGACGAAACUAUAUUUCGACCGUAGUCCAUUUCGACCGGAGAGGAACGCAGUGGGGAUUAUUCGGGGGAUCUCACGGGCAGGAAGGAGAAGGGUAUGAUGUGCCGUACAAGCUGCAGCCACAGCUGCAGCAGAAGGCACGGAAGGGCGGUGAGGCGGCGCCGGCGCUGUCGGGGUAUACUGGUUGUGCGGCGGGUCUGUUUGCGUUGUCAAUUAGUUGUUUAGCUGCUGUCCCUGCUGUAAACGUGUAGGCUUUUAUUUCGGGUUAUGAAUACGUCUGGCGUUUAGUGACCCCGUCGAAGUUGUGUGCACACUGGUAAUGCAGCAGCAGCAGCAGCAGCAGCAGCAGGUGCGAGUGCGAGUGGGAUCGGAACACUAUGUGGCAGCAGCCUGCUGCAUGAGGUGGUGCUGUGCGGUGCGCAGGAGUGCGUGGCCCGUAAGGCGUGUGGGUGGACAGGUAGGCGGCAGAGGCGGCGUGUGGGUGAGACAUGACGGCAGCAGCAGCAGCAGCAGCAGCAACAAAGAUGCAACGUUACGGCUUCUUCUUUGGUUUACGGCAGAUAGGUCACGGCUGCUGUUCGAGGGUCCUACCGCAAUAUUUUAAGCUCUUCCCACUUGCAUGUACAUGUGUCUGUGUACAUUUCACGCACCUCGCUGCCUGACCUACCUCACCCUGCCCUGCCGUACCCUGCCGUACCCUGCCGUACCCUGCCGUACCCUGCCCUACCCUGCACAUGUGCCUCACAAAACAUACUCCAAAACCACUCCGACCAUAAAGAAUUGUACACCAAAUGUUGUCUGAAACAGUGCCUCUCUCCCUCUCCCCCUCUCCCUCCCUCCCUCUCUCCCUCUCUCUCACCAUCCAGCCCCCUGCUUGCAUACCGGCCCCCCUUUCAUCAUCCACCAAGCGAACAACCCUCAUGGAGCGCAAUCCCGGCAAGUCCUGGUACUCCAGCUAUGUGGUUCAAUCCACAUUGCCCAUUGGGGGUCCCCAUAGCCAUUCCACGGGGCCAAGAACCCCAAGAACAGCCCGAGCACGGCACUGCCAUGCAAACGGGAUUCAGGUAGGUAAGCUGCGCAACCUGCAAACCGCGGGUUUAUGACCAGUUGAGACCUGUGCAGGCCGCUGUUCCUUCCCUUCGGUCCCGCGCCGCGGUCACCUUAUCUCUGGGUGUCUCCACCUACAUGGCUUGCACCUCCUAGUGUUCGUGCGUUAGGAGCCCGCUGCUGGACACACGUCUCCAGUGACCCGCCAUGCAUGGCCACUAGGCCUCCUCGCCACCCAUGAGGUUGUCCAGCGCGUGGUUCACAUGGCGCCUGUGAGAGACACACAAACAUACAUACACAUGCCGCCGUAGGUGGGUCGGUGGGUUUAUCAGAGGGCGUCCGACUGAGGCCCAGGCCCCGACAGACAGAAGGUUACCCGCAGCCGCGUCCCGCUAUGUGGCCCUCACCUCCUGUUGUAGUAGUACAAACCCGCAGCCACCGCCACGAGCGCCAAAGUCGGCACCACGGCAGCCGCCACAAUGGGGCCGUGGGAGGUGCCACUCGACCCGCCUGCGAUGGGGAGUGUGGAGAGGGGCCCGGGCACACGAGGGCACACGAGGUUGUGAGGCACUGUCGAUUGGAGGUGCCAGGCGGGCAGCCCUGGGUUGCAGAAACAGGAGUCUUACGCGCCCUAGCUUUGCUCUGGCUUGAGCCCCCCUCCUCCGAUGGCUGCCGCUGCACAGAGCUCGUUCGCUCGCAAAGAUUGGGGUCUCCCUAGAGCCCGCAAACAGAAUGAAACACGUUGCUGAUUGCACAUAAGGCAAGCAGCAGCGGUGCAUUCCGGCGGCUCGAUUGGUCCCCGUUGCGUCCUCGUCUGAAGCCCUCCAGGGAGCGCACCUUGCAACUGGCUGUUUGGUGGGCCUAAUAGAAGGGGUGGUGGCGGGGUCGUACUCCACUAAUCCCUGCUCGUACCGCGGCAUGGGACCUAGCGGGGCUGGAGGCGGCGGGGUCCUACGUGGCGGAGGUUNNNNNNNNNNNNNNNNNNNNNNNNNNNNNNNNNNNNNNNNNNNNNNNNNNNNNNNNNNNNNNNNNNNNNNNNNNNNNNNNNNNNNNNNNNNNNNNNNNNNNNNNNNNNNNNNNNNNNNNNNNNNNNNNNNNNNNNNNNNNNNNNNNNNNNNNNNNNNNNNNNNNNNNNNNNNNNNNNNNNNNNNNNNNNNNNNNNNNNNNNNNNNNNNNNNNNNNNNNNNNNNNNNNNNNNNNNNNNNNNNNNNNNNNNNNNNNCGGUGGAGGUGUCGGCGGUGGUGGAGGGGGGAGUGGUGGCGGGGUUGGAGGUGGUGGUGGUGGUGGCGGGGGUGAAGGUGGCGGGGUUUGAGGUGGCGUAGGUGGUGGUGGGGGUGGUGGCGAGUUUGGAGGUGGCCGAGAUGGUAGCGGGGGAAGUGGUGACGGGGAUGGAGCUAGCGGAGGUUGUGGCGGGGGAGGUGGUGACGGGGAUGGAGGUGGCGGAGGUGGUUGCGAGGGAGGUGGUGACGGGGAUGGAGGUGGCGGAGGUGGUUGCGGGGGAGGUGGUGACGGGGAUGGAGGUGGCGGAGGUGGUUGCGGGGGAGGUGGUGAUGGGGAUGGAGGUGGCGGAGGUGGUUGCGGGGGAGGUGGUGACGGGGAUGGAGGUGGCGGAGGUGGUGGAAGGGACAUUGGUGACGGAGGGAGGAGUGGUUCUUCAGGCUCGUCCUCACAGGGGGGCUCGGGAAUCUCCGGACAAUCCGGAGGAAGAAAGGGCGGGCUUGCAUCUUGAGACAUGGGGGGCGGCGGCAAUGUGGCCUGCAAGGGGGGCGGCGGCAAUGUGGCCUGCAAGGGGGGCGGCGGCAAUGCAGACAGCCCUGAAGCUCAACAAGAUCGGGGGGCCGAUGUGGAGGGGUGCACGGGGUGAUGCCGCCUGCAACUGGGCCAACAGCACCACGGGUGCCGAGGUUAAGGACGGUGGAUGGGCAUGGAUAGGCCUGGACCUUCCGCGGCAAGGACGCGCUCAGGGACUUACCGGCAACGGCGGCGGCGGCGGCAAGGUCCAGGACGAGUAGUAGGACGGAUAGUAGGACGCCAGCCUACGCAGGGGUCUGUGCACCGUGUCAGGUGCCAUUGACUGAAUCAGGUUACGUGGUCCGCCAGUGGACACCUCCGGGGCAUGCAAGGGAACUCCGUGCAAUAACCCCAACAGCUCCUCCCUGGCCUCUCCCGCCGCCACAGACUGCGUGCUCGCACCCGACACUGCCGUACUUAGUGAGGCUGGCCCCGCCCCAGCAGCAGCAGCCGCGGAGACCCAAGCCGCAAGCAGCAUCGUGAACAAGUACAAGGGUCCCUGGACCCAAGAGCCCGCGGUCCGGGACCUGGACGGGGCCCGGGCUCGCGGGUGCUGGCAGUGCGACGACCGCUGUCGAUCACUGGCGACGUCCUGUGAUGUCAUCGGCUGCUGGCGUUGCUGUAGCAGAGCAAGGCUGGGGACCCGCUGCUGCUCCGAGGCUGUAGCAGCGACAGGACUAUGACCGGGACAAGGAUGGUAGGGUUGCGUUCGCGGGAGGCCACCACAUUUUGUUUCGGUGCUUUCAUCCGCGGGUUUGCAGCUUAAUGCUCUUGCCCGGCUGCUGCAGCUGGGGGUACUGCAAUUGCUGGCUGUGGGACUGCCCUCGGCGCCGUGGGGUAUAGGUGGCUUUUCGUGGACGUCACCGUUCGGCCAAACGCGGCAGCAGACCGCCACAUGGCGAUCAGCCUCGUGAACCUGUACGGCGCAGCUAGGUAACUGCAGUUGUAGAGCCGCGUCCAAGUUGUCCUCACACAGCAACUUGGGCAGAUACGCCCGCGCACGUUGUACGGAGGCUCGCUGAUUUGUGUUGCUGACUGCGCUGUGUUCGACCCGGUGGCCCUGGGCCCCGGAGUAAUUAGAGCAAGGGAGUGCCAUACGUGGGUGGGGCCUUCGUUGAGAGCGUCCUUCGUAGGCCUCCUUUGCGCGCAAAGCUAACUGCGACUUCUAUAGUUCGGCCUGCGAAUUCGGGAGACCACCAUUGAACGAGUUGUGACGCUAAAAACACA